AGAGGCGGGGCUGGCUGGAAGGGUUUUCGAGGCAGGUACAGCACCCCUUACCUUGCAUGCUUGCCCGCAG
rnacentral:miRNA from 1 species